UAAAGUCGAGUUGGCUUAGGGAUACGUUCGUUGGGUAGGGGAGCGUUCUGUAAGCCUGUGAAGGUGUGUCGUGAGGCAUGCUGGAGGUAUCAGAAGUGCGAAUGCUGACAUAAGUAACGAUAAAGCGGGUGAAAAGCCCGCUCGCCGGAAGACCAAGGGUUCCUGUCCAACGUUAAUCGGGGCAGGGUGAGUCGACCCCUAAGGCGAGGCCGAAAGGCGUAGUCGAUGGGAAACGGGUUAAUAUUCCCGUACUUGGUGUUACUGCGAAGGGGGGACGGAGAAGGCUAUGUUGGCCGGGCGACGGUUGUCCCGGUUUAAGCGUGUAGGUGUGUGUUCCAGGUAAAUCCGGUUCACUUUAACACUGAGGCGUGACGACGAGGCACUACGGUGCUGAAGCAACAAAUGCCCUGCUUCCAGGAAAA
rnacentral:rRNA from 1 species